UACGUAGGGUGCAAGCGUUAAUCGGAAUUACUGGGCGUAAAGCGUGCGCAGGCGGUUAUGUAAGACAGGUGUGAAAUCCCCGGGCUUAACCUGGGAACUGCAUUUGUGACUGCAUAGCUAGAGUACGGUAGAGGGGGAUGGAAUUCCGCGUGUAGCAGUGAAAUGCGUAGAUAUGCGGAGGAACACCGAUGGCGAAGGCAAUCCCCUGGACCUGUACUGACGCUCAUGCACGAAAAGCGUGGGGAGCAAACGAGG
rnacentral:rRNA from 1 species